CGCACACACACACACACACACACACACGCACACGCACACACGCACCACUCACACUUUUGCCUUUCUUCACCCUUGGGCCUCCAACCGGCGCCUCCAAAGCCUUUCUCUCCCAGGCUCCUCAGGACCUCAACUAAUUAACUCGGUCACACUGCCGUGUGAUUUUGUGAUUUUUGUGAUUUUUAUCGAUACCAGAAAUAAUUGCUUUUAAAGAACUUUUUACACCUUGAAUCUCUCAUGGCUUGAGAUCAGGCAAGAACCACAUCUUGUCUUUGUGUUUGCGGACUUCACCCUGCGCCUCAGACUUCAGGAUUGUCUCUAGAAUCUCGCCAGGUAAGGACACUUCCUUGGUUUAAGGAAGACUGGCAGCAGGAGAGCUCUUACCACAAUCUGGUUAUGCUGGCACCCUAACCUUGGACUUCAAGCCUCCAGAACACUGAGAAUUAAGUUCCUGGUGUUUAUAAGCUACGUGGUCUGUAGUAUUUUGUUAGAGCAGCCCACACAGAUUAAGACAAAUUGUGUUACUCUAGCAUCUGUAUUUCUGAAAUGUGUGUGAUAACAAAGUCUUGUAGACACUAAGAUAAUUUACUUUCUAAAGGAAUUCAAUUGCAAAUCAUUUAAGAAAUGAAAAGUCCCUACAGUAAAGAAAAUUCAUUACUGAUUUAUACAUUUAAGUUUGAAACACAGUGUUAGAUUUUGGAAGGGGCCCUAACAACUAAUCCCUGUGCUCAUUUCGUAGAUAAAGAAUCUGAGACUCGGAGAAGUGGCCUGUAUCACAAAUUUGCUAGUGGCAGAACCAGGGUCAGGUUGCCUUUAAAAAAAAAAAAAAAAAAAAAAGAAUUUUCUUUCUUGUCCUUUCCUGGAGAAUCAGGCUCUUACAGAGGCUUCUCCAGUGCCCAGCUACUGCUAUGCCUGGUAGCCAGCAGUACCCAGCAACACUGACAUUCCUUCAGAUGGUUUUAUAGCAGAAUUCUUCCCUUGAGAUAACUUCCUAUGAACAACUCUCUCUAGCACCCAGAGGGUAGACUUCCAGAAAGUUCUAGGGGACAGAUUUCUAGGAGUUCCUCCAGCGUGACACCACAGUGACUUUUCUGCCAUCUAGUGAGCCACAGACAUUCUCUCUUCAGCAAGGUUUGGAUCUUGGUCCUGAGGUGGGGAAAGAAGGCGGGUUCUGUAUCUCCGCUCUAGGUAGGGGUAGCAGCAUGUUAUGUUAUGUGUUGUUACAUGUUGUUAUAGGCCGCCCACCGUGGUAAUUACUUCAGAAUAAAACAUUUGACUUUACUGGCUCACUCAAACCCUUGCUCCUGCCUUGUGGAAGCCCUCCCCAAAUAAACUGUGCAUCCAAGUCCUCACCUCAAGCUCUGGUUUUGGGAGAACCUAAGCUAAGGUAGACACGGCGUAGGAGGAACAGCUCCAGUUUAAGGAAAGUGACAGUGACAGAGCAAAGGGUAUGGAGCUUUCUCCUCAGUCUGAAUUUGUCAUCUCUGCAAUUUCAAAACCAUUUCAUAUCCAUGGCCCUGGAGGGCACUGGAAAUGACUCAGAGCUAGGAAGAAUUACCUCAUAUUCUGGGUGACAGAACCAAGGUACCAGAAACUCUAGACCAGCUGCAGCAAUGGGGCCACCGUCAACGGGAGGAAAUCGAAGAGAUCAAUCAGUGCUGUGUUUAAGUUCGAAAAAAAAAUCAACCACCCACACAUUGAACAUGAGAGCCAUUAAUGUGAAACAAAAUGUGAGGGUUUUUCACUGAUCACAAUCUCCCUAUGAGUCAAGACUUAAAAAAAAAAAAAAAA